ACCGAAGGCGCGGGAUAGCAUUUAAGAAAGUAUCGGUAGGGGAGCAUACUCACAGCGUUGAAUGGUGUACGUAAGUUAUCCUGGAGCGGUGAGUAAAGCAAAUGUAGGAAUAAGUAACGAUAAGGAGGGUUAGAUUCCCUCCCGCUGUAAGACCAAGGUUUCCCGGGCAAUGCCAAUCAGCCCGGGGUCAGUCGGGUCCUAAGUCUAAGCCGAACGGCGAUGGCGAUGGCAGAGACGGUUAAUAUUCCGUCACUGCCGCAUGGGGCGACGUGGAGACGGAGCAGUGAAACCACCGCGGGGCGACGGAAGUCCCCGUUGAAGAGUGUAGGCGUUGAGGAUGGCAGGCAAAUCCACCGUCCGAGCUGAACAUGAUAGUAUGGAGUCUUCUUCGGAAGAAUCCAAUAGUGUGGGUAAUCAUACUCCCGAGAAAAUCCGCUAAGCUUAACCCAUGCGGCACCCGUACCGCAAACGGACACACGUGGUCGGGUAGAACAUACUGAGGCGUUGAGAGAUUCAUGGUUAAGGAACUAGGCAAAUUGACCCUGUAACUUCGGGAUAAAGGGUCCUCGUGAAGAGCGAGGCGCAGAGAAUAGGUCCAGGCAACUGUUUAACAAAAACACAGGGCUGUGCAAACUCGAAACAUGACGUAUACAGCCUGACACCUGCCCGGUGCCGGAAGGUUAAGAGGAGAUGUCACACUUAUGUGGAAGCAUUGAAUUGAAGCCCCGGUAAACGGCGGCCGUAACAAUAACGGUCCUAAGGUAGCGAAAUUCCUUGUCGGGUAAGUUCCGACCUGCACGAAUGGUGUAAUGAUCCGGACGCUGUCUCAACCAUGAGCUCAGUGAAAUUGUAGUAUCGGUGAAGAUGCCGAUUACCCGCGAUGGGACGAAAAGACCCCGUGAACCUUUACUACAGCUUAGCAUUGACCUUGGUCAUCCGAUGUGUAGGAUAGGCCGGAGGCUUCGAAGCGGGAGCGCCAGCUUUCGUGGAGCCAUCCUUGAAAUACGGCCCUUUGGCUGUCUGAGGUCUAACGCGCGAUGCGCGGACACUGCUUGGUGGGUAGUUUGACUGGGGUGGUCGCCUCCAAAAGCGUAACGGAGGCUUCCAAAGGUGCCCUCGGGUCGAUUGGUAACCGACCUCAAAGAGUGCAAUGGCAUAAGGGCGCUUGACUGGGAGGCAGACAUGCCGAGCAGGCAGGAAACUGGGGCAUAGUGAUCCGGCGGAUGUGUAUGGAAACUCCGUCGCUCAAAGGAUAAAAGGUACUCCGGGAUAACAGGCUGAUCCCCCCCAAGAGCUCAUAUCGACGGGGUGGUUUGGCACCUCGAUGUCGGCUCGUCACAUCCUGGGGCUGGAGAAGGUCCCAAGGGUUGGGCUGUUCGCCCAUUAAAGUGGCACGCGAGCUGGGUUCAGAACGUCGUGAGGCAGUUCGGUCUCUAUCUAUCGUGGGCGUGGGAGUUUUGCGUGGUGCCGUCACUAGUACGAGAGGACCGUGAUGGACAGACCUCCGGUUUACCAGUUGUGCCGCCAGGCGCACCGCUGGGUAUCUGAGUCUGGAUUGGAUAAGCGCUGAAAGCAUCUAAGUGCGAAGCCAGCCGCAAGAUGAGAACUCCAUUGAGGGUCGUCAGAGACGAUGACGUUGAUAGGAUGCAGGUGUAAAGACAGCGAUGUCAAAGCCGAGCAUUACUAAUUGCCCA
rnacentral:rRNA from 1 species